AGCAGUAGCCGCGGUAAUACGAAGGGUGCAAGCGUUACUCGGAAUUACUGGGCGUAAAGCGUGCGUAGGUGGUGGUUUAAGUCCGUUGUGAAAGCCCUGGGCUCAACCUGGGAAUUGCAGUGGAUACUGGGUCACUAGAGUGUGGUAGAGGAUAGUGGAAUUUCCGGUGUAGCAGUGAAAUGCGUAGAGACCGGAAGGAACAUCUGUGGCGAAGGCGACUAUCUGGGCCAACACUGACACUGAGGAGCGAAAGCGUGGGGAGCGAACAGGAUUAGAGACCCGUGUAGUCCCUGUCUCUUAUAC
rnacentral:rRNA from 1 species